rnacentral:rRNA from 1 species
AGAGUUUGAUCAUGGCUCAGAUUGAACGCUGGCGGCAGGCCUAACACAUGCAAGUCGAGCGGUAGCACAGAGAGCUUGCUCUCGGGUGACGAGCGGCGGACGGGUGAGUAAUGUCUGGGAAACUGCCUGAUGGAGGGGGAUAACUACUGGAAACGGUAGCUAAUACCGCAUAAUGUCGCAAGACCAAAGUGGGGGACCUUCGGGCCUCAUGCCAUCAGAUGUGCCCAGAUGGGAUUAGCUAGUAGGUGGGGUAACGGCUCACCUAGGCGACGAUCCCUAGCUGGUCUGAGAGGAUGACCAGCCACACUGGAACUGAGACACGGUCCAGACUCCUACGGGAGGCAGCAGUGGGGAAUAUUGCACAAUGGGCGCAAGCCUGAUGCAGCCAUGCCGCGUGUGUGAAGAAGGCCUUCGGGUUGUAAAGCACUUUCAGCGGGGAGGAAGGCGGUGAGGUUAAUAACCUCAUCGAUUGACGUUACCCGCAGAAGAAGCACCGGCUAACUCCGUGCCAGCAGCCGCGGUAAUACGGAGGGUGCAAGCGUUAAUCGGAAUUACUGGGCGUAAAGCGCACGCAGGCGGUCUGUCAAGUCGGAUGUGAAAUCCCCGGGCUUAACCUGGGAACUGCAUUCGAAACUGGCAGGCUAGAGUCUUGUAGAGGGGGGUAGAAUUCCAGGUGUAGCGGUGAAAUGCGUAGAGAUCUGGAGGAAUACCGGUGGCGAAGGCGGCCCCCUGGACAAAGACUGACGCUCAGGUGCGAAAGCGUGGGGAGCAAACAGGAUUAGAUACCCUGGUAGUCCACGCCGUAAACGAUGUCGAUUUGGAGGUUGUGCCCUUGAGGCGUGGCUUCCGGAGCUAACGCGUUAAAUCGACCGCCUGGGGAGUACGGCCGCAAGGUUAAAACUCAAAUGAAUUGACGGGGGCCCGCACAAGCGGUGGAGCAUGUGGUUUAAUUCGAUGCAACGCGAAGAACCUUACCUGGUCUUGACAUCCACAGAACUUAGCAGAGAUGCUUUGGUGCCUUCGGGAACUGUGAGACAGGUGCUGCAUGGCUGUCGUCAGCUCGUGUUGUGAAAUGUUGGGUUAAGUCCCGCAACGAGCGCAACCCUUAUCCUUUGUUGCCAGCGGUCCGGCCGGGAACUCAAAGGAGACUGCCAGUGAUAAACUGGAGGAAGGUGGGGAUGACGUCAAGUCAUCAUGGCCCUUACGACCAGGGCUACACACGUGCUACAAUGGCAUAUACAAAGAGAAGCGACCUCGCGAGAGCAAGCGGACCUCAUAAAGUAUGUCGUAGUCCGGAUUGGAGUCUGCAACUCGACUCCAUGAAGUCGGAAUCGCUAGUAAUCGUAGAUCAGAAUGCUACGGUGAAUACGUUCCCGGGCCUUGUACACACCGCCCGUCACACCAUGGGAGUGGGUUGCAAAAGAAGUAGGUAGCUUAACCUUCGGGAGGGCGCUUACCACUUUGUGAUUCAUGACUGGGGUGAAGUCGUAACAAGGUAACCGUAGGGGAACCUGCGGUUG